rnacentral:lncRNA from 1 species
UUAAAAUAUUAAAUUAUUUAAAAUUUAUUCCAUUAAAAUUUAAAUAUUAAAUUGAUUUAAAUCAUGCUCACCCCAAGUAGGUGGACCAGAGGGCUGUUCAACGGUAAAUAAUUCGGUCUCCACGCAAUCAAAGGCCACGAUGGCAUCUGACUACCUUGGACUUGGACGUAGCCUCUCCUGCUCCGGUGGAAAAUGAGGAAUGACGUGUCCAUCCGUAUUGG